rnacentral:rRNA from 1 species
GUUUUUUGAUUUUAAAUAAAAGAUUAAUUCUGCUCAAUGAUUAAUUUAAAUAGCCGCAGUAUUUUAAUUGUGCUAAGGUAGCAUAAUCAUUUGUCUUUUAAUUGGGGACUAGAAUGAAUGGAUUGACGAGGAAUUAACUUUCUUUAUUUUAUUAUUAUGAAUUUAAUUUAUAGGUUAAAAUGCUUAUAUGAAUUUAAGGGACGAUAAGACCCUAUAGAAUUUAAUAUAAAUAAUAUAUAUAAUUUAUAGUUAAUAAAUUAAUUUAUAUAUAUACUUUAUAUUUGGUUGGGGUGAUUUUAAAUAUUUUUUAACAUUUAAUUAUUUUGAUUCAUUUAUUUAUGAAAUAUUGAUCUGAAUGAUUUUCAAUUAUAAGAUUAAAUUACCUUAGGGAUAACAGCAUAAUUUUUUUGGAAAGUUCAUAUUGAUAAAAAAGUUUGUGA